UACGGAGGGUGCAAGCGUUAUCCGGAUUUACUGGGCGUAAAGGGCGCAUAGGCGGCCACCGCAAGUCGACUGUGAAAUCUCCGGGCUUAACCCGGAAAGGUCAGCCGAUACUGCGGGGCUAGAGUGCAGAAGGGGCAACUGGAAUUCUCGGUGUAGCGGUGAAAUGCGUAGAUAUCGAGAGGAACACCUGCGGCGAAGGCGGGUUGCUGGGCUGACACUGACGCUGAUGCACGAAAGCGUGGGGAGCAAACAGG
rnacentral:rRNA from 1 species